rnacentral:misc_RNA from 1 species
UUUCCGUAGGUGAACCUGCGGAAGGAUCAUUACAGUAGUCACCCAGGUUGCCGCAAGGCCUCCUGGGUAACCUACCACCCUUUGUUUAUUACACUUUGUUGCUUUGGCAAGACUACCCUCGGGCUGCUGGCUCCGGCCGGCGAGCGCUUGCCAGAGGACCUAAACUCUGUUUGUCUAUACUGUCUGAGUACUAUAUAAUAGUUAAAACUUUCAACAACGGAUCUCUUGGUUCUG